GUCAUGAUGGCCGAGUGGUUAAGGCGUUUGACUCGAAAUCAAAUGGGCUCUGCCCGCACAGGUUCGAAUCCUGUUCAUGACG
rfam:Lingula anatina scaffold17, whole genome shotgun sequence.